rnacentral:rRNA from 1 species
UUCCGGUUGAUCCUGCCGGACCCGACUGCUAUCGAAAUGGGACUAAGCCAUGUUAGUCGAACGUCUUUUAACUAUGUGAAGGGCGUGGCGUACGGCUCAGUAACACGUUGUCAAUCUACCCUGAAGACGUGGAUAACCCCGGGAAACUGGGAUUAAACCACGAUAGAUCAAGAUUUCUGGAAUGGAUUUUGGUUCAAAGGAAGGAUGAGCAUGUUCAUCUAUUUGCCUCAGGAUGGGACUGCGACCGAUCAGGUUGUUGGUGGAGUAAUAGCCCACCAAGCCAGUAACCGGUACGGGCUUUGAGAGAAGGAGCCUGGAGAUGGACACUGAGAAAAGAGUCCAGGUCCUACGGGGCGCAGCAGGCGCGAAACCUUCGCAAUGCACGAAAGUGCGACGAGGUUAUUUCGAGUGCUAUCCGCUGAGGAUAGCUUUUGUCAGGUGUAAAUAGCCUGGAGAAUAAGGGGAGGGCAAGUCUGGUGUCAGCCGCCGCGGUAAUACCAGCUCCCCGAGUGGUCGGGACGAUUAUUGGGCCUAAAGCAUCCGUAGCCUGCUUUGCAGGUCUUCUGUUAAAUUCAACGGCUUAACCGUUGAGCUGCAGGAGAUACCGCAAGGCUAGGAGGCGGGAGAGGUAGACGGUACUCCAUGGGUAGGGGUAAAAUCCUCUGAUCCAUGGAAGACUACCAGUGGCGAAGGCGGUCUACCAGAACGCGCUCGACGGUGAGGGAUGAAAGCUGGGGGAGCGAACCGGAUUAGAUACCCGGGUAGUCCCAGCUGUAAACGAUGCUAGCUAGGUGACGGAGUGGUUUCGUACCAUUCCGGUGCCGCAGGGAAGCCGUUAAGCUAGCCGCCUGGGGAGUACGGUCGCAAGACUGAAACUUAAAGGAAUUGGCGGGGGAGCACCACAAGGGGUGAAGCCUGCGGUUCAAUUGGAUUCAACGCCGGA